rnacentral:piRNA from 1 species
CACACAAUAAUAAUGGGAGACUUCCACA